rnacentral:rRNA from 1 species
CAAGNUCGACGGCAGCACGGGAGCAAUCCUGGAUGGCGAGUGGCGAACGGGUGAGCUAAUAUAUCGGAACGGUGCCCAGCUCGCUGGGGGAUAACGCAGCGAAAGCUGUGCUAAUACCGCAUACGAUCUACGGAUGAAAGCGGGGGAUCGCAAGACCUCGCGCGAUUGGAGCGGCCGAUAUCAGAUUAGCUAGUUGGUGGGGUAAAGGCCCACCAAGGCGACGAUCUGUAGCUGGUCUGAGAGGACGACCAGCCACACUGGAACUGAGACACGGUCCAGACUCCUACGGGAGGCAGCAGUGGGGAAUUUUGGACAAUGGGCGCAAGCCUGAUCCAGCAAUGCCGCGUGCAGGAUGAAGGCCUUCGGGUUGUAAACUGCUUUUGUACGGAACGAAACGGCUUCUUCUAAUAAAGGGAGCUAAUGACGGUACCGUAAGAAUAAGCACCGGCUAACUACGUGCCAGCAGCCGCGGUAAUACGUAGGGUGCGAGCGUUAAUCGGAAUUACUGGGCGUAAAGCGUGCGCAGGCGGUUAUAUAAGACAGAUGUGAAAUCCCCGGGCUCAACCUGGGACCUGCAUUUGUGACUGUAUAGCUAGAGUACGGUAGAGGGGGAUGGAAUUCCGCGUGUAGCAGUGAAAUGCGUAGAUAUGCGGAGGAACACCGAUGGCGAAGGCAAUCCCCUGGACCUGUACUGACGCUCAUGCACGAAAGCGUGGGGAGCAAACAGGAUUAGAUACCCUGGUAGUCCACGCCCUAAACGAUGUCAACUGGUUGUUGGGUCUUCACUGACUCAGUACCGAAGCUAACGCGUGAAGUUGACCGCCUGGGGAGUACGGCCGCAAGUUGAAACUCAAGGAAUUGACGGGGA